GGCGUGCACUGGUCCGGCGGGAUCUUUCCUCCUGGGGAGCCCUAUGGCCUUCACUGGCUGUAGGGGGAACCAGGACUUUUACUGUGAAAAAAUUAGAGUGUUCAAAGCAGGCCUUUGCUCGGAUACAUUAGCAUGGAAUAAUAGAAUAGGACGUGUGGUUCUAUUUUGUUGGUUUCUAGGACCGCCGUAAUGAUUAAUAGGGAUGGUCGGGGGCGUCAGUAUUCGGCUGUCAGAGGUGAAAUUCUUGGAUUUGCUGAAGACUAACUACUGCGAAAGCAUUCGCCAAGGAUGUUUUCAUUAAUCAGGGAACGAAAGUUAGGGGAUCGAAGACGAUCAGAUACCGUCGUAGUCUUAACCAUAAACUAUGCCGACUAGGGAUCGGACGGUGUUUUUAUGAUGACCCGUUCGGCACCUUACGAGAAAUCAAAGUUUUUGGGUUCUGGGGGGAGUAUGGUCGCAAGGCUGAAACUUAAAGAAAUUGACGGAUGGCACCACCAGGCGUAAACCAAGACACUGAAAGCCGCAGCGUCUCUGCGCCGAACAGCGGCCCGAAAGGGUGAGUGGUGCUCUGGAACACCAAACGCUAGUCCUCGGGGGAUGCGUACCCACGCACCCCCGGGGGGCGACAUGCUCAGAUUGCGGGAAAAUCCUCACACAGCUCCAGCUACCCAAGCCGCGCACCGAAAGGGCGCGGUGGCCAGGCUAGCGGCCUCGGGUACGGUAACAACGCUGGUAGA
rnacentral:rRNA from 1 species